rnacentral:rRNA from 1 species
GAUGAACGCUGGCGGUGUGCCUAAUACAUGCAAGUCGAGCGAACAGACGAGGAGCUUACUCCUCUGACGUUAGCGGCGGACGGGUGAGUAACACGUGGAUAACCUACCUAUAAGACUGGGAUAACUUCGGGAAACCGGAGCUAAUACCGGAUAACAUGUUGAACCGCAUGGUUCAACAGUGAAAGACGGUCUUGCUGUCACUUAUAGAUGGAUCCGCGUCGCAUUAGCUAGUUGGUAAGGUAACGGCUUACCAAGGCAACGAUGCGUAGCCGACCUGAGAGGGUGAUCGGCCACACUGGAACUGAGCCACGGUCCAGACUCCUACGGGAGGCAGCAGUAGGGAAUCUUACGCAAUGGGCGAAAGCCUGACGGAGCAACGCCGCGUGAGUGAAGAAGGUCUUCGGAUCGUAAAACUCUGUUAUUAGGGAAGAACAAAUGUGUAAGUAACUAUGCACGUCUUGACGGUACCUAAUCAGAAAGCCACGGCUAACUACGUG